AAUUUGCAGACAAGAGCUUACUACAUAACGACUGCAUACAUAUCUAUUGAAUUGCUAGCUACGAAACUAAUUAAGCUGAAGUCUCACUUAAUUAAGGCGACGUGGUAUGGUUGGCAGUGCCAGCAUAUCUGUUGAUAACAGCCAAGGCAUUACUUGUAACAUGUUCAAACUUCACAAUACAGGUCCUCACAGUUAGCUUAAUAUUCCCAUUAAAGCCAUUUGAACAGGUAGCUCGUUCGUCAAGGCAGCACUCACUCACAUGUUUGCACAUCACUCAUUCUGAGC
rnacentral:lncRNA from 1 species